GAUGAAGAACGUAGCGAGAUGCGAUACGUAAUGUGAAUUGCAGAAUUCAGUGAAUCAUCGAGUCUUUGAACGCACAUUGCGCCCCCUGGUAUUCCGGGGGGCAUGCCUGUCCGAGCGUCAUUGCUGCCCUCAAGCACGGCUUGUGUGUUGGGCCUCCGUCCUCCUACCGGGGGACGGGCCCGAAAGGCAGCGGCGGCACCGCGUCCGGUCCUCGAGCGUAUGGGGCUUCGUCACCCGCUCUUGUAGGCCCGGCCGGCGCUUGCCGACACAUCAAUCUUUUUUCCAGGUUGACCUCGGAUCAGGUAGGGAUACCCGCUGAACUUAAGCAUAUCAAUAAGCGGAGGA
rnacentral:misc_RNA from 1 species